UCGCGCUAGACGGGGAGCUGGCGGUUCCCUGCACCGGUAAUCCGCCAUAGCCGGGUUGAACUCCCCUACCGAGGUCGGGCCUUGCAGUCCGGAUUGGCGCGGAAAGCGAUGAAGGCCGGGACCUGCGCAGCGCGGGUCUCCGAACCCCGUCAGGUCCGGAAGGAAGCAGCGGUAAGGAGGGCGCCCGUGGGUGCCGCAGCCAUCCGGGCCGGAGCUGGAAACGUCGACGCCGCUGGGAGCGUCCAGAUCGAAGAGGGGUGCGCGG
rnacentral:SRP_RNA from 1 species